rnacentral:pre_miRNA from 9 species
UCUCGAUAGCGUAAAAGUUAACUCAAAUUUGUAUGGAGUUGGAACGUUUGCCUACGUUUGCCGCUAGGGGCGCUGUUCCAACUGCAUACAAAAUUGGCUUAACUUUUACGCUAUCGG